UUGCAGAGUUUAGAAACAGAGAUGGUGAAUUGGAGGAGUGGGAGUUUAGGGCUACGAACAUUCUGCUUAAAAAAAAGAGAUGGGCUAUUUAAUAGAAGGCUACUUUGACGGCUAGGGUUUUCAAAAAAAGUUACUGAUCAGGAAAAAAAAAAAUGAAUAAUUGAAAGGCCAUGAUUACAUGAAAAAGAACCUUUGCAGCCGCUUUACUACGGCAUGUUCACUUCGCAAUAUUACCUACAGAGAUCGGAAUGCAAUAUUGAGAGGAAGAGCUUUAUUGAUUGAGGAGUUGGUGGGGAAGAUGAACUUAAAAGCACAUACUGAGAGAAAUUGAAUCGAUAAGUAACUUAGUCACUUAAACUGAAGCCCAGACGUGAAGCAAAUAAAGCCCACACGUUAGCCCACUAUAAAUAAAAGAAAAACGUGUCCAAACGAAAUGAGCUGAUUGGAUGAUUAUUUUUAGUGACGUGGACAGGCUAGAAUCUCAUCAUAUUGAUCUUUUAGUAUUGUGAUUUUUA
rnacentral:lncRNA from 1 species